UACGAAGGGGGCUAGCAUUGCUCGGAAUCACUGGGCGUAAAGGGUGCGUAGGCGGGUCUUUAAGUCAGGGGUGAAAUCCUGGAGCUCAACUCCAGAACUGCCUUUGAUACUGAAGAUCUUGAGUUCGGGAGAGGUGAGUGGAACUGCGAGUGUAGAGGUGAAAUUCGUAGAUAUUCGCAAGAACACCAGUGGCGAAGGCGGCUCACUGGCCCGAUACUGACGCUGAGGCACGAAAGCGUGGGGAGCAAACAGG
rnacentral:rRNA from 1 species